UACAGAGGUCCCAAGCGUUGUUCGGAUUCACUGGGCGUAAAGGGUGCGUAGGCGGUUGGGUAAGUCUGAUGUGAAAUCUCACAGCUAACUGUGAAAUUGCAUUGGAUACUAUCCGGCUAGAGGAAUGGAGGGGAGACUGGAAUACUUGGUGUAGCAGUGAAAUGCGUAGAUAUCAAGUGGAACACCAGUGGCGAAGGCGAGUCUCUGGACAUUUCCUGACGCUGAGGCACGAAAGCCAGGGGAGCAAACGGG
rnacentral:rRNA from 1 species